rnacentral:rRNA from 1 species
GACGUAGGGGGCAAGCGUUGUCCGGAAUCAUUGGGCGUAAAGCGCUCGUAGGUGGAUCGGUAAGUCCGCUGUGAAAGUCCAGGGCUCAACCCUGGAAUGCCGGUGGAAACUGUCAAGCUGAGUCCGGAAGAGGCGAGUGGAAUUCCUGGUGUAGCGGUGAAAUGCGCAGAUAUCAGGAGGAACACCAAUGGCGAAGGCAGCUCACUGGACCACAACUGACGCUGAGGCGCGAAAGCUAGGGGAGCAAACAGG